AGCCUUCGGGGGCGACACCUUGUUCCCCGGCUGCCCCUUCAGGGCCGCCACCGUGUCCGCCCCGCCGCCCCUUCAGGGCCGCCACCACCUUGUCCUGCUACCCCUUUCACCUUGCGAGAGACCCAGGCCUGCUCCUGCCACCUUCCCUAUGGGGAAUCAGUGCCACCAGUAGCUCCGUGGCAGCCACUGCUGCUUUCCCUGGCCCCCAUAUCCCCAACAGCUUUGGGACUUCUCGACACCUGGCAUCGACCCGCGUUCAGGCCUGGAGCUGAACGCCUUCCUUGGGGAGGUCUUCCUUAGACACUUUCCUUGGGGAGGCCUUGCUUGGUGAGACCUUCCUCGAUGAACCUUUUCUCCUCCCCAGGGAGCCCUUUCUCCUCCCCAGGCCCGUGGUAGCCGCAGGCCAGCUGGGGUGGCACCACACAUUGCUGAAGUUUCUUCCAGGCUGCCCUAGCCCCGGAGUUGUGGCAGAGCUGGUGUGCUGACUGAACAGCAUAUGGGAGGGCAUUAGCCACCCAGCAGAGCAGCUGAAGGAGGAUCAGGACAAAAAGCCCUUUGCCGGCAUGUUCAGGGUGCAUCUCAUUUCUGCUUUGUAGACCUUUUUAGGAUGGGAGUGAAGACUUUAAGAGAUCAUCUCAACAUACCAACCAAGAAGCUGUUAGCCAUCAGCGUCUGCCGUACACAGAGAUGUGGAUUUAUUGGUACACAAAGGCAUGAAAACCCAAUGAUAGUGGCUGAAAUAAGUUCCACAGCAGACAGAAAUGAUGUCGUUAGCUCCUCUCAGUGGUAUGAUUUAAGACAUCUCUGAUAAAAAGGCAGCGAUGAGUGAAAUUAUAAUGAAAGUUAUAAUUUUGAAGACUUUUGCUACUCCUCUUUCCUGCCUGAAGCCAGAUCAGCCAGCCACAAGACUGAAUGCAAGCCAAGAAUCUGUGUUUCUCUCGAGUGGGAAGCCCGAGCAUCAGAAACCAACCCUCCCACUCUCACUCGUUAGCACUCAUGACUGCAAAGAUUUAAAAAAAAAAAAAAAAGUCAAAGCAAGUAUGCGCUGCUGUAGGCUGACGUCAGUUUUCAUUAGUUGUCAUUGCUAAUUUCUUUCUGGAGAACUCAUGCAGUGUUUCCAAGCCUUUUUACUUUACAUAAAAAUAAGAUGCUCACCCUUCGAUAGAAGAAACCAACUAUGAAUACUAUCAACAAUUUAAUUUGAGAAUAAAUUCCACGAAACAUGUUUGAA